CGCCAGGGGGCCCCUCCUUCUGGCCGGGUAAAGGUCAGGUGCCCGCUGCGGAGAGCGCUGAGGUCUCACGAGUUUGAAUCCCGCUCAGGUUGUCUGGUCCUCAACUUUCCUCUCCGUGAAUUUCAGUCGGUGAAGUAAAUCAAACAAUGUGGGAGAAGGGCGGGGCUUCAAAAAGAAUGCCUCGUGACAUCAUCUAAUCUCUCUCAGCCUCAGUGUCCCCGACCCAGGAAAUGAGACAGUGCAACCUACAGAGGGCACCAGAAGCACCGACGAGGACCACAGAGCGUUACCCUGGCCUCCGGAGCUCCAGGCUCCUCACGGGUGAAACGAGGCCUAAAGAGCGUUUUUACAAGUGACAACAGAGACGCUGUCAUCUGGGGGCGGGGGACUGAAGGCGAUGACUCAGGUAUUAAAGCGUUUAAGGUUCCGAAGCGAGCCUCAGUUUCCCCAUCUCCGGAAUCGGCCCGAGGCCGUCAGCGAGGACCCCGAUCCGGCCUCGCACACAGUAGGGACACGGACUGGGGGGAAUAUAGACGCCCCGCGUCCCCCCCCACCCCGCACGGGGCUGUCCCGCAGCACGCCCAAGGUGAGUGUCCCUGUCACCACUCCUGCCCCUGCGCUCACGCAGGCCUCCGGGGCCCCGUUCGCAGCCCCGAGGCCCCAGCCUCCCAGGCCCCUGCCUUGCUCUGCCGCCUCCAGCGGGCAGCGAGCCCCGGGGCACUCACCGGCUUCCAGGGCCGUCCCGAGGCUUCGGCCUGAGGAGAAAGAGGGGCGGGCCCCUCCGGAAAGCCCCGCCCACACGAGCGCAGCGCGGGCCAAUCCGCCUCCGCUGCGGCAAGCCACGGCCCCGCCCAUGGGGGGCGCGCCGCCAAUCAAGAGAAGCACCUGGCAGAAGAAGCCAAUCAGAAGUUGUCGGAGUGUGCCAGCCGUGGGAAAAGAACCGCGCCUGAGCUCUGAGCUUGGCGGUGCGGUUGUGGGCGGGACCCGAGGUCUGACGAGCAGCGAGUUCGACCAAUGAUCAGGCGCGGGGGGCGGCCUGGGGCGGGAGGCCCAAGGGACUAGGGUGAAUGGGCCGCUUUGUAAGCGAGGAAUGAAUGGGGGCCUUUGUGAGGGCCCGCGUGUGGGGGGGCGGCUGGAGGCCGGAAUGCCUGGGUCCCCGGGGAGCUGGCGGGCAGGAGAGACGGGAAAGAGAAUUCACUUUUGUAGAACACCGACCGCGUACCAGGCACUCUCCCGGGCUCUCACCCACAGGGGAGGUGUGGGCGAUACUGUCAGUAAUAACAAUCCUGUACUGAGUGCCCGAUGUAUGCCCAGGAGCUGGGCUAAGCGCUUUACCUGCAUGAUUUCAUUUAAUCCUUACAACUAGCAUUUGAAAUGGGUGUUAUUAAGAUUUUCAUCUUUCAGAUGAGGUAAACCGAAGCUUAGAAAGAGGGUGUUAAUUGCGGAAAGUCACAGAGCUGGCAGGUGGAAGAACAAGAACUCGGAUCUCACUAAAUCUGACUCCAGAAUUUCUGCUCUUAACCACUAUGCUACACCCAAAUGUUGGUUAGUGCUUCCCAGCUUACAAAUGGAAAAACUGAAGCGACUUCCCAAACUCACAAAGAAAAUGUUCUGCUGAACCCUGAGGUGCUGGCCAUGUCUAAAGUUCACCUUUUGCUGGUGAGCAGUGCACCAUUGGUCUUUGAGGUGUAUCCCCAUUAUACAGGUGUACCCAGAGUCUCCAAGAGGGACAAGCAGCUGGGGUGGGAACUGGGAGCUGCAUGUCAAUCAAGCCCCAGCCUGGCAGCCUGGCUCUGCUGCUUACCAGCUGUGUGGGCCUGGUUCAGUUGCUGGCCUUUUUUGAGAUUGCAUUUAUUUCUGCAUCUAUAAAAUGAGGAUGAUGGCCUCUUUGCCUCCACUCUGACAAUCCCCAAACACACAGACUGUCUACUGCCAAUGGGAUCCUGUUAAAUUUUAUUCUGACUGCUCUCCUGCUCUUUUUAGAAUCUUUCAUGGCUCCAUCUCAGAGUAAAAAAGCCCAUGUCCACACCACAGUCCACAGAGGCCUGCAUGAUGGGCCCAGCCCCCCACCCCUGGGGGUCUGUCUGAUCUCAUCUCCCCUUCAUUGGGCUCCAGCCACACUGGCCUUCUGGCUUUUCCUCAGUUCCUCAGACACUCCCAGGCAUGGGUCAGGCUCAGGACCUUUGCAUUUGCUCUUCCUUCUACCAGGAAUGCAUUUUCCCCAGGUUGUGCAUGGCUGCAUCCCUCUCACAUUGUCACAUCUGCUCCAACAUCACCUCCCUCAGGAGGUCUUUUCUGACCAUUCUGUCGGAAGUUCCCCUAGUCACCCUCUCUCCCUCUGACCCUUCUCUGUUUCAGCUCAUGAUUCUUGGAGAGUUUGCUUUUUUGUCUAUCUGUUUAUCAUCUCUUUCCCCACUAAAAUGUAAGUUCCAUAAGGGCAUGAUUUGUUCAGUGCUGGAUUUUCAGGGCCUAUCAUACAGUAGGCGCUCACUAAGUGUUUGUUGAAUUAAUGCUAACAAGUUUUUUGUAUUGUGUGAAUUCAAUGAGUCAAUGCAUACAGAGUUGAUGCAUUGAGAAAAGGCAAAAUAAACAGAGAAUUAUUAU